GGGCACCCCGCUUCCAGGCCGGCUGUCGGCAGGGCAGGAGGCGCUGCGGGGCCGAGGUGGGCAGCCCGGCUGGAACCCUCUCCUUUAUACCGCCCGCCCGUCCGCUCCAGUGGCUGUGCUACCGCCGCCUGGGGCCCGGCCGUGCCCGUCGCCACAGUUGAAGCAACGUUGGGUCUUUUUCCUGGUAGCGAUCCCAAACUAAAAGAGAAUUCACUUCCAGCGCCGUUGGCUUUCGCGUAGCUCUUCGUUACCCCUGCCACCUUCUCUGGCCAAGCAUCCCCUUGUCAAGCCGGCAACUGCGGGCGCCUCAGAGGAACUUGCUGGUGCUGGGCAGUCACCCAGGAGAAAAUCGGGUACGGAGGGGGUUUUGGCGGCAAACGUUGGCAUCCGAGCCUUCAAAGGCGCCGCUGCGGUUCCCGGCGUGCCGAGCGACGGGGAGGGUUUGAGCGCAGUGAACUCGCUGCGGCAAACUGCGGAGCAGCGUGGUUGCCCGAGAGCUUGCGUCUGGGGGUGUUCGCCUCGCAGCUCCUCGGGUGCCGUGGAGCUGCAGCUGCAUGCUGAGGCCGGCGGACGUGGCCCUUGUCC